AGUCUGAACCUAUUUUACAGUUGAAGUAAAUUGGCUUGUUUGGGAACCGCCAAAUAAGAGCUAGUGAGAUCAGAUUGCUUCAUACGCUACUUGCAGUUAGCUACAUCAGAAUGAGAAGUGGAAAUAAAGCAAAAUAAUUGGCUCCCCAGCACAGCACACAUCCCCUCCAAGGUGGGACUGCUCUAGGAGUAAGUCUGGGUUGCACAGCUGAGCAGGCUGGUGUCUUUGGGAUCCCUGCAGCUGUAGGAUUAAACAUUUCAAUAAAUAAUGUUCCAUGUAAAAGGAUGAUGAAAUUCACAGACUGCCACAUCGAUGAAGUUAUAAACCUUUCCGUAACUACUCAUGCAAAAUCUGCACAAGUUCAGCGAUGGUUAAUGGUUCAAGAGGAUCCCCAAAGGAGCAUGCCAGAAUUCUCUCACACAAGACAGAAAAGAAUGGGAUUGCAGAUCUGAAAGCUGCAGGAAAACAGACAGCUAUGGUGAUCGUAUUCAGGUGGCCAGUUGGAUUUUGCAUUGGUUCAUUAUGCGCAGAAUCCCAGGAACUAUCACAGAAAAUGGAGCAUGCAUUUUGUGUAUACAGAUAUGGGUAUGCAAUUCCAAAAGUCUGUGUCUGUAUGAUCUGCCAGCGUCUGUAUGUGUGCCUAAUAAUGCUUACCCUUAUAUACCCUUAUACCUAUAAGCCUACUACAGCUUGAAUUGUGGGACUAUUUAGGACUUCGAGAAGUCUCAGGGGAAGCAUUGCUGGUGCAAUCAUGUAUUUUAUUUCGAGCAUGCAAAAUCUUCUAUCUGCAGUGGCAAACACAGUAGCCCACAGGCUGAGACUACCAAAAUUUAGUGGUUUUUUUGGUAAUUCCUACUAGUUAUUUUGCAGCCAUUUCUUUUAAUAUUUACUAUGAAGUCUAGGGACGUUUGUGUUGUCCCUAUAUGUCCAGACACCACAAAUGUAUUUUUUUUUUAAAUGCCCACAGUUUAGUUACAUUUCACUUUUGUUUAGGAAUGCAGAGUGCUCGUGUUGAGAUUUAGCAAGAAAAGAGAUAGUAAAUGUCAAACAAAAGUAAUACCUGAAAGGAAAUAAAACAAAUAAUUCAAAAUACUUGUUUAAAAAGUUAUAAAAUAUGACAGCAUUAAUGGCACUUAAAGCUCUAAGCACU